GUGCGAUGACAGUUUCUUCUCUUCCAAAAUAUGAUGCCCAGUGGAGUGCUGUUCUUCCUUGUGCAUCCCUGAAAUUGGGAUUGUUACUGGCAGCAACUAUAAGACCCAUGGCCCAUUCAUAACCAAGACCAGCAGUCAAGUGUAUAACUCCUUGGCCUUCACCAUCCAACACAUCUGGUCCCUUACCCCCUCCAUGAACUUUACAGACUCACAAAGCCUGUCACUCAGCAAACUUUGGAUAAAUUUAUCCCUAGCAUCUGUGCAAUUGACUUCAGAGACCAUGCAACUCUCCCUGGCCCUUGCCAAUUCGUUACUUAUCUUAUUUCUCAUUGAAUAUAAGGUACUUCUUAGCUUACAUUUGUCGCAUCUGUCAAUGGAGCAAUUCAGCCAUUUCCUCUCCUGUCCCAAAUGUAGCAACUUUGCUAGACGCACUUGGAAGCGCAGUUCCUCCUCUUGCACACUGCUGGUAGACAU
rnacentral:misc_RNA from 1 species